CACUUAACCAGAGACAUAUAUACAGAGAUAUAUAUAUGUCUCUGACUUAACAUUACAGUGCAUUUUUACUUAUAUCAAUAACAAUCAUCCUCAUUUUUCAUGUGGUGAUUUCUAUUAAGGAUUGAAUGUAGCUCGAGUUUCCUCGGGCCCUGACACCAUGUCAUGUAGAAUGUUAAUCUGGUCAAAUUCAUGGAGAAAGGAAAUCGAUUAAAUUUGGUAGUUUCAUAGAGUCUAACUUGAGUGGAAUUUGGAAAUUGAAAUAUUAGGUGAUCGCAGUAGCUACUUUGAUGACUACCUGGGUAUAUAGUAGGAGUUGAUAAAUUCCAGAGAGGAAUAUGUUCAUAUAUUGGUACCUUAUAUUAUGGACAUUUAAAUAGGUACACUUAUUUGGGAAGAAGCCAGAGCUUCAGAAUUGGUUGUGUAUCUUUAAUCAAUGGUCAAGGUUUUACUUUACCAAACCAUUCUAUACUAGCGGGAAAAAGAAAGGCAAGUUUGGUUUUUUAGACACAUGGUCCUAAUUCAAUUUCAUACUUAGCUAACUAUAUGUGCACUGUGAAAAUGUUCUUCAGUUGCAAUUCAGUCAACCUGCAUUCUCUCAGCAGAUUUUUCAAGAAAGUAUCUUGUGGGUAAAUCACUUCACAUGUAAAACUGAAACAGUACAAAUUUAAAAGUUAUACAUGUACAAUACAAAUGUAUUUCUUUUUUAAGGGAUUGUAAAACAAAAUGCUGCGAUUUAGUGAAGUUGAUAGGGGUUGGGCCAUUGCUUUAAUAAUGCAGGAGCAUUAGCAAGGUCACACAGCCCAGCAAUAUGGUGUACAUGAGAUAACAAUAUCUCGUUCAGUCAGUAAUCUCAGAGCCACAGGGAAAUGAGGUGACCGUCCCCGGAGCGGACUCCCAUGCAUUACGUUGAACGCCACGAUAGAUUAGAGUAGAGGCAUAAUUACUUCCUGACCUAGCUCCAUAACCAAUUUUCAGAGGGAGGCGGCACAUCAAGUUUGCUGGAGUAUAUUAAAGGCUAUGACAUCCUUAUGCUGGUCCACCACUUACACAGUAGCGACGCCAACGUCAAAUGCAGUGGCUGCUGGCACAUGCACCUAAUCGGUCUCAUUUGACCAGAGACUUGUAUAUCAGGUAUAUACGUUUCUGAUUUGACCCAUUGGAGACACAUGAUGUUCACACUUUACUGUCAGAUGGAUGACAACGUGUCUAUGGACGUCAUGGUAAACUAGCAUGUGGAGUUUGGUACUGCACCCUCAGACCAAGGGGAAUAACUCUAUAUUCAAUGAGAUCCUGGACCCUAGUCAUCAACUUCUCAAAAACCAACAUUCCAGGGACCUGUUAUUGUGUCUGUAGAUGACUUCUUGAUAACCAAGUGGCCCACAGACCCGAUAUUAGUCUGUAGCAGGGCUCAAAAUGGAUAUUUUUACAAGGUGGCCUGUUUGUCUACAAAGUCAUUAAACCUAGGUGCCAAUUUGAAAAGUUUGUAUCUACAACUUGAUUCAGCCAUUCCUAAAGAAUCAAACUUUUGUCCAGGAGUCCAUCCCCUUAUUUGACCAAGUUAGAUGAUCCUGAUCAUGAGGGACACACAUACCAGUCCCAUGGUCAGAAGCUCUUCCAUCAGAUGAAACACCAGGAAUAACAGACACAGCUGUACCUUCAAAGGAUGGCUGUACUCUCACCUGGUCAAAAUUGGACAAAUGUGAGCUUCUUCCAUACCGUGGCAGCGGUCGUCUGGCGUCCAUCCAUGAAUAAUUGACUUCUUCUUCUUAACCACGGAUCAGAAUUUAACCAAAUUUAUAAAUGAUAGCUACAGACUACAGCAAAAAUAGGUCAGCAGGCUAGCAAAACUGGAGGGGUACAUAUGUAAACACCUGGAGCAUGGUCAUAGACUUCUACAUGUAGGAUAAGUAGGUCGCACACAUCUACAGAUUAAGUGUAGGACAGAGCUUGUGAUAUAUAUUCUGAAACGACCUGACCAAAGACCAGCAUGGAGAGUUCCAGCUCAUGGACAUGUAAAACUUCCUAAAACAGAACAUUAAGUCUACCAGUUGCAGUAACAGGCUGAGGACGCCUCCGCUCCCCAAAGACCAGGUUCACCAAGGAACAACACCAAACAAUACUUGGACACAGCAAACUUCCUAAAACAGACCAACAUUCUACCACAGCUGCUGUCUGUCACAGGUCAUGGCUGAAGGUAUCUGCCCAAAGACAGGGUUCACUUAGUUAUGAACAGCGCAAACAAUACUUGAAUUGGUAUUCGAAAAUUGUA